rnacentral:rRNA from 1 species
CAGCGGCCGCGGUAAUACGGAGGGUGCAAGCGUUAAUCGGAAUUACUGGGCGUAAAGCGCACGCAGGCGGUCUGACAAGUCAGAUGUGAAAUCCCCGGGCUUAACCUGGGAACUGCAUUUGAAACUGUCAGGCUGGAGUCUUGUAGAGGGGGGUAGAAUUCCAGGUGUAGCGGUGAAAUGCGUAGAGAUCUGGAGGAAUACCGGUGGCGAAGGCGGCCCCCUGGACAAAGACUGACGCUCAGGUGCGAAAGCGUGGGGAGCAAACAGGAUUAGAGAACCCCUGUAGUCCCUGUCUCUUAUA